rnacentral:lncRNA from 8 species
CUUAUACUUUCCAAAUAUGCUCGUCAUGUUCUGAAAUAGCCAGCGUAAUAUGAGGACAACCCCUACCUGUUGUGUAAAAUGUUAUGUCAAGAUAUUUAUUUAUUGUGUAACUGUCCCUCUGUCUCCUCAGGCUGCAGUCGUCCCUGUUCGUGCCCUGCCACUCACCUCCCAUCAGUGACAUGUCCCUGGGUUCAUCCGUGGUGCCGAAGCCCACCGCUAUAUCAUCACCACGGAGACCCCAUUUACUGAGCACUGUCGCAACUAUGAGAACAGCUACAGGACGCUGCAGACAUCCAUUCAGCAGCUGAAGGACCAGGUGCAGGAGACCCACAGGGAUCUGACCAAGCACCCCUCCCUCAUCAAGACCGACACUGUGGAAGACAUCCUGGAUACCUUCGUACAGCCAUAUCUCCUCUGAGUACUCUGCAGUGGAACUCAUGAGGGCUAUGUUUGAGGAGGCUCAUCUCCAUCUUGUUAUCCUUCCCCUAAGUCUGGGAGGAGAUCUUUCAGAGGGUUGCAAAAGAACAGAAAAUCAAUGAAGGUAAAGGGGGUUUUGUUUUUCUGUUAGAUGUGAGAUAGAUAUGGUGAAGUUGGUGUUUUAUAUACUGCAUGUGUCCAUUCUGUUUUCUGCCCAGCUUCAUGAUCUGACGCAGCUAAAGGAAGAGAACAGAUACCCGACCACCAUCAGCAGGCAAAUCGGCCCCUACAUCCGAUCCAUCGCCAAGGUGAAGGAACGCCUUGAACCCAGACUGAAAGAGCCUAAGGAGCUGAAAGAUGACUGUACAGAGGACAUGCUGAAGACCUAUGAGGACACCACUAUGGCCACAGAUACUAAACAAACCAUUUUAACAACACAGAUAAAUGACCUGACCUGUACCACAGAUGAUAACAACUCUCAGCAACCUCUCUGA